GUGGGUGUAGCUCAGUUGGUAGAGUGCCGGAUUGUGAUUCCGGUUGUCGUGGGUUCAAGCCCCAUCAUCCACCCCA
rnacentral:tRNA from 1 species